AACGAACGCUGGCGGCGUGCCUAAUACAUGCAAGUAGAACGCACAGUUGAUACCGUCGCUUGCUACACCAGAGACAGUGAGUUGCGAACGGGUGAGUAACGCGUAGGUAACCUGCCUGGUAUCGGGGGAUAACUAUUGGAAACGAUAGCUAAUACCGCAUAAUAUUGAUUAUUCCAUGAUCAUCGAUUGAAAAAUUCUAUUGCAUCACUACCAGAUGGAUGUGCGUUGUAUUAGCUAGUAGGUGAGGUAACGGCUCACCUAGGCGACGAUACAUAGCCGACCUGGGAGGGUGAUCGGCCCCACUGGGACUGAGACACGGCCCAGACUCCUACGGGAGGCCGCAGUAGGGAAUCUUCGGCAAUGGACGAAAGUCUGACCGAGCAACGCCGCGUGAGUGAAGAAGGUUUUCGGAUCGUAAAGCUCUGUUGUAAGAGAAGAACGGGUGUGAGAGUGGAAAGUUCACACUGUGACGGUAUCUUACCAGAAAGGGACGGCUAACUACGUG
rnacentral:rRNA from 1 species